rnacentral:rRNA from 1 species
UAACCUGCCUUGGAGUGGGGAAUAACAGCUGGAAACAGCUGCUAAUACCGCAUAAUGCAGUUGGGUCGCAUGGCUCUGACUGCCAAAGAUUUAUCGCUCUGAGAUGGACUCGCGUCUGAUUAGCUAGUUGGCGGGGCAACGGCCCACCAAGGCGACGAUCAGUAGCCGGACUGAGAGGUUGGCCGGCCACAUUGGGACUGAGACACGGCCCAGACUCCUACGGAAGGCAGCAG